UUUGAGAAAAAAAAAAAAAAAUAAAAGUUUUGAGUUUCCAAGUAUCAAAGUGUUAUUUAUUGAUUGCUAAGUUAUUGAAGUGUGAGGGAACUGAUCUAAGAAGGUACCUAAGGAGUGCAAUUUAGAGGAUUCAAGAGGAGAAAGCAGCUGAAGGUGAAACCUCGUGGCGAAAGGAAAGAUUCAGCACAAGGCCACCACGUGGAUUUUUUCUGAUCCAUCUCCCCGGAGGCUAAUUAUUUUAACCUGUGCUGUAUUUCAAGGUACGAGAUUCACGGAAGUGUCUAAGGGAUUGUGGAGAGAAUUGGGCAGAGUUUAGAGGCAAUAACUUAAUCAUUUAUUUCUACCAUACUCAUUGAAGGUACGCAUACUGAGGAGGUAUCUGUGGGAUUAAGGGAGAGUUGGGCAAAGCUGGACGCAAUUAAUUCAUUCUUUAUUUCCACGCUAUAUUGAAGGUACGAGAUUCACGGAAGUGUCUAAGGGAUUGUGGAGAGAAUUGGGCAGAGUUUAGAGGCAAUAACUUAAUCAUUUAUUUCUACCAUACUCAUUGAAGGUUAGUGUCAUACAUUUCUGAUCCAUCUCCCCGGAGGCUAAUUAUUUUAACCUGUGCUGUAUUUCAAGGUACGCAUACUGAGGAGGUAUCUGUGGGAUUAAGGGAGAGUUGGGCAAAGCUGGACGCAAUUAAUUCAUUCUUUAUUUCCACGCUAUAUUGAAGGUUAGUGUCAUACAUUUCUGGUCCAUUCGACCCUACAAGAAGGAAGGACGAACUAGCAAAGAUGGCAAUGAAACAACGAGGUGGCAUAGUCUCCGUGAUCACGAAGGUGGAGAACUACAUCAGUGAGAUGACUUCCGAAUCACUCGAUAUGAUGUCCGCAAACGGCAAUCUACAAGGACAAAUGGAUCUCGUGAGGAGUAUGAAGACCAAGUUCCUCGCCACCCAAAUGGAAAUCAUUGGCGCUCAGAAAGACCAAACCAGGAAGCAACAGGAAGAGAAGGGACUUGCGGAGUUCAUGCAACGUUGUGACAAUCUCAUCACCAAGAUUGGAGACAUCAU